GAACAGAAUGCUGGGAAGAAGAGGAAGUGAGCUCAGACUCGACAGCUCUGCUCUCUGGAGCAGACGCCAUGCUCCCCUCUCCCCGGCAGACGCGAUGAAGCUCCGACCCAGGAUGGACGUAGGCUAGAAUCUUCCCGGUUACUCCUGCUGCCUAAGUCAAGACCAACCUACAAAAUGCUCCCAGGACAACGCCAAAAGCACCUGUACCAGCUCCUGGGACUUCAUCAUUGGUACCAGCUCUCCUGGAUCAAAAACACCUGCCAACUAAAAUCUGGUUUAUGUCUCAUCCCAUGGCUAACCCUGAUGGAGAACCUUCAUCUGGCGAUGGAUCGAGGUAGAGACAGAGUCUCAAUUUGGAGCAACGGUCUGAGCUCUUAAGGUCCAAAUGAGGAGCAGAAGGAGGGAGAACAUGAGCAAAAAAUCAGGACCACGAGGGAUGCACCCACCCACUGUGACAGUGGAACUGAUUUAUUGGGAUCCCACCAAGGCCAGCUGGUCUGGGACUGAAUAAGCAUGGGUUGAUUCCGGACUCUCUGAGCAUGGCGGUCAAUGAAGACUGAUGAGAAGCCAAGGACAAUGGCACUAGGUUUCGAUCCUAAUACAUGAACUGGCUUUGUGGGAGCUUAGCCUGUUUGGAC